GGUAGUCCACGCUGUAAACGAUGGAUACUAGCUGUUGGAGGUAUCGACCCCUUCAGUAGCGAAGCUAACGCGUUAAGUAUCCCGCCUGUGGAGUACGGUCGCAAGACUAAAACAUAAAGGAAUUGACGGGGAGCAGCACAAGCGGUGGAGCAUGUUCUUUAAUUCGACGAUAAUCGAAGAACCUUACCCAGGUUUGACAUCCUUGGAAUUUCUCCGAAAGGAAAAGUGCUUUAUUGAACCAAGUGACAGGUGAUGCAUGGCCGUCGUCAGCUCGUGUCGUGAGAUGUUUGGUUAAG
rnacentral:rRNA from 1 species